CAGUCGCCACGGGAAUACGAAGGGGGCUAGCGUUGCUCGGAAUGACUGGGCGUAAAGGGCGCGUAGGCGGAUGGUACAGUCAGAUGUGAAAUUCCUGGGCUUAACCUGGGGGCUGCAUUUGAUACGUAUGAUCUUGAGUAAGGAAGAGGGUCGUGGAAUUCCCAGUGUAGAGGUGAAAUUCGUAGAUAUUGGGAAGAACACCGGUGGCGAAGGCGGCGACCUGGUCCUUGACUGACGCUGAGGUGCGAAAGCGUGGGGAGCAAACAGGAUUAGAUACCCGCGUAGUCCCUGUCUCUUAUAC
rnacentral:rRNA from 1 species